CGCAAGCGCACUAGCAUCGGCAGCGGCCAAGGCCCGCGCGGGAGGGGGACCGAGUACUGUAGCGCGGCAGGACCACCACUCCCAGCAGCCUUGGCGGCUCCCGCGGCUGCGCUGUUCACCACUGCUUUCCCUUUGUCACCUCCUGGAGCUCAGUUUGGAACGGCUUGGAGACAAAGGGGCCCGAGAGCAAAGCUGCUCCCUGGGACCGAGCCUCUGCGGAGGGCGGGCCGGCGGAAAAGAUGCUUCCCUGAUUCCUGGCCCGUUAGGUGCCCUCCGAGCGCUCUCCAUUCCCCACUUUUUGGAAGGACCGCCAACACCUGGGGCGCUGGCGGCACUUUAGUGUCCUUUGACGCCCCGACCCCUCUUUAACCUCCCUUCCACCAUGGCUCCAGGAUUUAAGACUUUCUGAAAAGCCCGGCUCUGAGCCCUCCGUUGCCUAGACGACCGGAUGGUCCGCCCCGCCCUUUCCGGGACAAGCCACGCCUCUCGGUCGUGGCCACGCCCCGGCGGCGCUCCCGCCUUUGUCCGCGCUCUGCUGUGGUUUCCUUGGGCUGGCUUUCGAUCGCUGCAACUGGAGUUGCGUGCCGUCGGGUCCCGGCCCCUCCGCUUGGCUUCUGCUCUGCCUGACUGGGAGCGGCGCUGGGCAGAAGGGUCCCGCGUAGGGUGGCCUGUGGCCGAGUGCCGAGCGGAGACCCAGCCCCAGCCGCGCCUCCCCGGCUUCCCCUGUCUCCGUGUAAGCAGCGUAGGGUUCCGCUGGAGUCCCGGAUUUAUCCUGCUGCAAAUCUGGACGCGCGGCCGCAGACAGACACUUGCAGUUUAAACGGGCACACUUUCCGGUAUUUGAAGAUUUGAAAUGUUACGUGAAACAUAUCUGUUGGAAUUUUUUAGUUUCCUGUAUAAUCCAGCACAGUUUCGGACUAAUCUAAUUCAGUAUUUGUAAAUAGCGUGUUUAUGGCUGGGGUGCGCAUUCCCUGGACCCGUAGGUUAUUUUGUGACGUGGAUAUUAGGGCAGCAGAGGAGAAUGGAUUGAGCUGUAUUUUGAAUUGGAUUGUUCAUAUUGGAGCGUUGCUGCGGUGCUAAAAGACGAAACGAAGUUUCAUUUCGUCCACACGAUUCAUUGGCCACUGAUUAGCACAAAACACUGUGACCUGUGGGAAGAGAAACAUGAAGUGAAUAAAGUGUAGAAGGGGGUGCAAGGUUGAAUUUUAAAUAUGCCUUUUUCGCAAAGAACAUGUAAGUAACUUAAAAGCACAAUAGCAAAAAAGAGAACCUGUCUAGGUUCUUUUAAUCCUAGCAGUCAUUGGCCUGAGAAUGAACAGUUUUUAAUCUGGACUCAAGAAUAAAGGUUAGCAAGAAUUUAUCCCAUUCAAAAAUAAUCUAGCUGGCCAGGCUCAGUGGUGCAGGGCUGUAAUCCAAGCUGCUGGGGAGGCUCAGGCAGUAAGAUGGCAAAUUUUAGAGGCUAGCCUCAGUAAUUUAGCAGGACCCUGUCUCAAAAAAUAAAAAAGGCUGGGGAUGUAGCUCAAGCACCUCUGGAUUCAAUCCCCAGUAUCAGAAAACAAAGAUAAAAAAAAUAAACUGGAGUUAGAACUAGCUUAUUUUUCAAAAAGUCACAAUACUAUCUGAAUAAUUCUUCUUCUUCAUGAACUUCACAGAUGCAUAAACCAAAAGGCUUCUUAUUCAUUCAACUGGAAAUAUUUGAGUAGUUCCACCACGUGCCAACUACUGUUUUAUGUGCUUGGAAGACAAGUAGUGAAUAAGCAGUUUGACCUCCAUAAAACAAUUAAUCCGCCCCUUAGGGUAAAAAGUCAGAAAGUGUUUUCUGAACAUGCCUAGAAUACCAAUAGAUAAAAUAACCGUUUAUCUUGCAUUUUAAAUAUGGCGCUAAGGAACAGUGCUCGAUUUUUGAAGAAUCCUGACUGUUUCAGUUUUGCUUUGUGGUGUACUGCUAAACUACACAUUAAAACUUUUUUCUAAAGUUACAUGUCAGGCUAGAGCAGUUGUCUAGCAUGUGCAAGGCUCUGGUUCCAUCCCAGGCCCUGGGUUUGAUCUCCAUCACAAUAAAUAAAUAAAUAAACAAAAUUAUGUUUCUAAUUUAACUAAAAGCAUUCAAACCUAUGAAGAAAUGAAUGUACAGUUCAUGUUUUGAGGUGGUUAAAAUAUCUAUACUGGGCUGGGGCUGUAGUUCAGUGGCAGAGUGCUUGCCUA
rnacentral:lncRNA from 1 species